CACCGCUGUUCGCCUUUCAGCUGUUGAUACGAAUAAGUCGGUCAGGAAUUUGCAGUCAUGGCAUUUAAAGACACUGGCAAGGCUCCCGUUGAAGCCGAGGUGGCCAUUCACCGUAUCAGGAUCACUCUGACCAGCCGUAACGUCAAGUCUCUGGAAAAGGUGUGUGCUGAUUUGAUCCGAGGUGCCAAGGAGAAGAGUCUUAAGGUGAAGGGGCCUGUGCGUAUGCCUACCAAGACCCUCCGCAUCACUACUCGCAAGACUCCUUGUGGUGAAGGUUCCAAGACCUGGGACAGAUUCCAGAUGAGGAUCCACAAGCGCCUCAUCGAUCUGCACAGUCCAUCUGAGAUCGUCAAGCAGAUCACCAGCAUCAGCAUUGAGCCUGGUGUUGAGGUGGAGGUCACAAUUGCAGAUGCUUAAUUGCUGUCUGCACAAUUAAUCAGCUUUGUAUUUCACAUCUGAUUAAUAAAAUUGGAAGUUUUGG
ensembl:processed_transcript rps20 ribosomal protein S20